GGGAUGGGCUGGGCUGCACAGACCGGGGUCUGCGGGAGUACCCAGGAGGGCACAGUGUUCAGGCGGGAGGCUCUGCUGGAGAGGACGGCCCGGGUACAGAGCAAGGAGGCGGCCUUGAAAGAGGAGGCGGUGCUGAUGGUGGAAGACAUAAUGGCUGAGAAGGAGGUGGUGGUUAAGGAGGAGACCAAUGUGUAGUGGCAGAAGGAGGACCAGCGGGCACAGCCUGGCCCUGGACCCAGCAGAACCGGGCCGUGAAUGGACUCUCUGGAGGUCCUUCACUUGCAGCUGGGCUGUGAAUGGGCCAGGCCACAGGGCGUCUCCGGCUUCUGGAUUGCUUGGCAAGCCCAGAUGUCGGCCUAGGUCAGAAACCAUGAUGAAGUCCUGCUUUGCUACAUGAUGGAUUUGCAGACAGGUGGAGGAACUCAGUCAUCCUGGUUACCGGCGGCUGGAUGAAAUUUCCUUUCAUCACAACCUUUACUUCCACAAUGAAGUUAUCAUUAAGGAAUACUUCUUUGGCAUCCUGGGGUACAGGGUGUCUCAUUCCACU
rnacentral:lncRNA from 1 species